rnacentral:lncRNA from 1 species
UCGCGCAUCUUGAUGCUGGCCUUGAUAUGGUCGAUCCUGUAAUGCAAGACCUCGACAGUCUUUUUAGCAAGUUGUAGUCUGCAUCUACUGCGAUUUGUCUUGUAUGGCAAUUUGUAUUGUAGAGAUGUAGUUACUCGUUAUCUUCUAAAAAUAAUAUCAUGGAACAUCAGAGACAGUAGGGAUUAAGAAAUGUUCCUUUCUUGAAGCCGCAAGGAAUGCACAUUUUUACUCGAGUCCCAGGGAAUUAAUUGGAAUAACU